CCUACGGGCGGCUGCAGUGGGGAAUCUUGCGCAAUGGGGGCAACCCUGACGCAGCGACGCCGCGUGCGGGAUGACGAUCUUCGGAUUGUAAACCGCUUUUCCCAGGGACGAUAAUGACGGUACCUGGGGAAUCAGCCCCGGCUAACUCCGUGCCAGCAGCCGCGGUAAGACGGAGGGGGCUAGCGUUGUCCGGAAUUACUGGGCGUAAAGCGCUCGUAGGCGGUCGUCUACGGCGGUGGUGAAAGCUCCCGGCUCAACUGGGAGAGGCCCGCCGCAACGGGACGACUCGAGGGUGGUAGAGGCAAAUGGAAUUCCUGGUGUAGCGGUGAAAUGCGUAGAGAUCAGGAGGAACACCCGUGGCGAAGGCGGUUUGCUGGGCCACACCUGACGCUGAGGAGCGAAAGCCAGGGGAGCGAACGGGAUUAGAUACCCGGGUAGUC
rnacentral:rRNA from 1 species